rnacentral:rRNA from 1 species
GUUUUCUCUGGGUGCUCCGGUUUCCCUCACAGUCCAAAGACGUGUGCUAAUUACUCGCUGAAGCUAAGCAGGGCUAAGCCUGUUCAUUACCUGGAUGAGAGACCACAUGGGAAACGUUCGAGGUUACA